ACGGGAGGGACGGGAGUGAGGUUCUUACCAGGAUUUCGCCCAGCUCGUCCUCAUCGCAGUCAGCAGGCUCCUUCCCCAGGCGGGCUCUGGUUGGCUAGCACAGAGACACAGAUGUGUCACAAGAAGGAGCCUCGCGUGUGGGACAAGGUGACAGCAGUGCGUCCACCCCGUGUGAGCUGGAGGAAGGUGCUGCCAAGAGCUCAUGCUUUCUCCUUGGGAAGGCCGUGGCAGCCUCUGAUCUGGAGACAAACGACCGUGUGCACGGCCUGCUCACUUUCCCACCUGCCCUGUCUCUUGGGCACUGCUUUACAGUCCUCAGCUAUGACCCCUGGGUGACGUGCCCCUGCCGCACAGCCAUGACCCCUGGGUGACCCCUGGACGACCUGCCCCCGCCGCACCAGGAUGAGCUGGAUCUCGUCCCUGUCACACUUCACGUGGUAAAGGACCAUGUCCUGUGCGAUGUC